rnacentral:rRNA from 1 species
CCCUUAGAUGUCCGGGGCUGCACGCGCGCUACACUGAAGGAAUCAGCGUGCUAAAACCAUUGUCGAAAGGCAUUGGUAAACCCAUUAAAAUCCUACGUGAUUGGGAUCGGGAAUUGCAAUUAUUUCCCUUGAACGAGGAAUUCCCAGUAAGUGUGGCUCAUAAGCUCGCGUUGAUUACGUCCCUGCCCUUUGUACACACCGCCCGUCGCUGCCCGGGACUGAGCCGUUUCGAGAAAAGCGGGGACUGCUGCUGUCGGGGCUUUCGGGCCUUGGCUUCGGUGGAAACCGCUUUAAUCGCAGUGGCUUGAACCGGGCAAAAGUCGUAACA